GUGACUGCGUACCUUUUGUAUAAUGGGUCAGCGACUUAUAUUCUGUAGCAAGGUUAACCGAAUAGGGGAGCCGGAGGGAAACCGAGUCUUAAUUGGGCGUUAAGUUGCAGGGUAUAGACCCGAAACCCGGUGAUCUAGCCAUGGGCAGGUUGAAGGUUGGGUAACACUAACUGGAGGACCGAACCGACUAAUGUUGAAAAAUUAGCGGAUGACCUGUGGCUGGGGGUGAAAGGCCAAUCAAACCGGGAGAUAGCUGGUUCUCCCCGAAAGCUAUUUAGGUAGCGCCUCGUGAAUUCAUCUCCGGGGGUAGAGCACUGUUUCGGCUAGGGGGCCAUCCCGGCUUACCAACCCGAUGCAAACUGCGAAUACCGGAGAAUGUUAUCACGGGAGACACACGGCGGGUGCUAACGUCCGUCGUGAAGAGGGAAACAACCCAGACCGCCAGCUAAGGUCCCAAAGUCAUGGUUAAGUGGGAAACGAUGUGGGAAGGCCCAGACAGCCAGGAUGUUGGCUUAGAAGCAGCCAUCAUUUAAAGAAAGCGUAAUAGCUCACUGGUCGAGUCGGCCUGCGCGGAAGAUGUAACGGGGCUAAACCAUGCACCGAAGCUGCGGCAGCGACACUGUGUGUUGUUGGGUAGGGGAGCGUUCUGUAAGCCUGUGAAGGUGUGUCGUGAGGCAUGCUGGAGGUAUCAGAAGUGCGAAUGCUGACAUAAGUAACGAUAAAGCGGGUGAAAAGCCCGCUCGCCGGAAGACCAAGGGUUCCUGUCCAACGUUAAUCGGGGCAGGGUGAGUCGACCCCUAAGGCGAGGCCGAAAGGCGUAGUCGAUGGGAAACGGGUUAAUAUUCCCGUACUUGGUGUUACUGCGAAGGGGGGACGGAGAAGGCUAUGUUGGCCGGGCGACGGUUGUCCCGGUUUAAGCGUGUAGGUGUGUGUUCCAGGUAAAUCCGGUUCACUUUAACACUGAGGCGUGACGACGAGGCACUACGGUGCUGAAGCAACAAAUGCCCUGCUUCCAGGAAAAGCCUCUAAGCAUCAGGUAACAUCAAAUCGUACCCCAAACCGACACAGGUGGUCAGGUAGAGAAUACCAAGGCGCUUGAGAGAACUCGGGUGAAGGAACUAGGCAAAAUGGUGCCGUAACUUCGGGAGAAGGCACGCUGACACGUAGGUGAAGUGAUUUACUCAUGGAGCUGAAGUCAGUCGAAGAUACCAGCUGGCUGCAACUGUUUAUUAAAAACACAGCACUGUGCAAACACGAAAGUGGACGUAUACGGUGUGACGCCUGCCCGGUGCCGGAAGGUUAAUUGAUGGGGUCAGCGCAAGCGAAGCUCCUGAUCGAAGCCCCGGUAAACGGCGGCCGUAACUAUAACGGUCCUAAGGUAGCGAAAUUCCUUGUCGGGUAAGUUCCGACCUGCACGAAUGGCGUAAUGAUGGCCAGGCUGUCUCCACCCGAGACUCAGUGAAAUUGAACUCGCUGUGAAGAUGCAGUGUACCCGCGGCAAGACGGAAAGACCCCGUGAACCUUUACUAUAGCUUGACACUGAACAUUGAGCCUUGAUGUGUAGGAUAGGUGGGAGGCUUUGAAGUGUGGACGCCAGUCUGCAUGGAGCCGACCUUGAAAUACCACCCUUUAAUGUUUGAUGUUCUAACGUGGACCCGUUACCCGGGUUGCGGACAGUGUCUGGUGGGUAGUUUGACUGGGGCGGUCUCCUCCUAAAGAGUAACGGAGGAGCACGAAGGUUGGCUAAUCCUGGUCGGACAUCAGGAGGUUAGUGCAAUGGCAUAAGCCAGCUUGACUGCGAGCGUGACGGCGCGAGCAGGUGCGAAAGCAGGUCAUAGUGAUCCGGUGGUUCUGAAUGGAAGGGCCAUCGCUCAACGGAUAAAAGGUACUCCGGGGAUAACAGGCUGAUACCGCCCAAGAGUUCAUAUCGACGGCGGUGUUUGGCACCUCGAUGUCGGCUCAUCACAUCCUGGGGCUGAAGUAGGUCCCAAGGGUAUGGCUGUUCGCCAUUUAAAGUGGUACGCGAGCUGGGUUUAGAACGUCGUGAGACAGUUCGGUCCCUAUCUGCCGUGGGCGCUGGAGAACUGAGGGGGGCUGCUCCUAGUACGAGAGGACCGGAGUGGACGCAUCACUGGUGUUCGGGUUGUCAUGCCAAUGGCACUGCCCGGUAGCUAAAUGCGGAAGAGAUAAGUGCUGAAAGCAUCUAAGCACGAAACUUGCCCCGAGAUGAGUUCUCCCUGAGACUU
rnacentral:rRNA from 1 species